rnacentral:misc_RNA from 1 species
GAUGAAGAACGUAGCGAAAUGCGAUAAGUAAUGUGAAUUGCAGAAUUCAGUGAAUCAUCGAAUCUUUGAACGCACAUUGCGCCCGCCAGUAUUCUGGCGGGCAUGCCUGUUCGAGCGUCAUUACAACCCUCAGGCCCCCGGGCCUGGCGUUGGGGAUCGGCGGAGCCCCCCGUGGGCACACGCCGUCCCCCAAAUGCAGUGGCGGUCCCGCCGCAGCUUCCAUCGCGUAGUAGCUAACACCUCGCGACUGGAGAGCGGCGCGGCCACGCCGUAAAACACCCAACUCUUCUGAAGUUGACCUCGAAUCAGGUAGGAAUACCCGCUGAACUUAAGCAUAUCAAUAGCGGAGA